AGCCUCGCUCUAGCCCAACCACCCCCAAGAUUAGAACCUGUUAACAAGCUCACUUCCCCCCAAAACUAAAACAUUUUUCAAACUUAGUAUAGGCGAUAGAAAAGAACCACAUGGCGCGAUAGAGACUCCUGUACCGUAAGGGAACGAUGAAAUAACAAUGAAAAUCCUAAGCAACAAGCAGCAAAGAUGAGCCCUUGUACCUUUUGCAUCAUGGUUUAGCAAGAACAACCAAGCAAAACGAAUUUAAGCUUGCCCCCCCGAAACCCAAGCGAGCUACUUGCGAGCAGCUAUAUCUGAGCGAACCCGUCUCUGUUGCAAAAGAGUGGGAUGACUCGCCAGUAGAGGUGAAAAGCCAAUCGAGCUGGGUGAUAGCUGGUUGCCUGUGAAAUGAAUCUAAGUUCUUCCUUAAUCCCCCUCUACGGAUACCUACUUAAACCCACAUGUGACAGAUUAAGAGUAACUUAAAGGGGGUACAGCCCCUUUAAAAAAGAACACAACCUCCCCUAGAGGAUAAAUCACCACCAACCUAACUCCUGACCUGUGGGCCUUCAAGCAGCCAUCAAUAAAGAAUGCGUCAAAGCUCCACAUUUAAAAAUCCAAAAACAACCUGACUCCCUUACCCUUAACAGGCUAACCUAUGAUAAUAGGAGAAUUAAUGCUAAAAUAAGUAACAAGGGGCCCACCCUCUUAAGCGCAAGCUUACAUCCUCACAUUAUUAACAGGCUCCCACUAAUACUAUCAACCCUGACAAGACUAAAUAUUUACAACACCUGUUAACCCAACCCAGGAGCGCCCUCUAGAAAGAUUAAAUUCUGUAAAAGGAACUAGGCAAGCCCAGGGCCCGACUGUUUACCAAAAACAUAGCCUUCAGCCAUCCAAGUAUUGAAGGUGAUGCCUGCCCAGUGACACUGUUUAACGGCCGCGGUAUCCUAACCGUGCGAAGGUAGCGCAAUCAAUUGUCCCAUAAAUCGAGACUUGUAUGAACGGCUAAACGAGGUCCCAACUGUCUCUUACAGACAAUCAGUGAAAUUGAUCUCCCUGUGCAAAAGCGGGGAUGUAUACAUAAGACGAGAAGACCCUGUGGAACUUAAAAAUCAGCAGCCACUACACACUUAACCCUAAACCUACUAGGCCCACUACCAUAAAAACAUUGGCUCGCAUUUUUUGGUUGGGGCGACCUUGGAGAAAAACGGAUCCUCCAAAAAUAAGACCACCCGUCUUAACUAAGAGCAACCCCUCAACGUACUAACAGUAACCAGACCCAAUAUAAUUGAUCAAUGGACCAAGCUACCCCAGGGAUAACAGCGCAAUCUCCUUCAAGAGCCCAUAUCGACAAGGAGGUUUACGACCUCGAUGUUGGAUCAGGACACCCUAAUGGUGCAGCCGCUAUUAAGGGUUCGUUUGUUCAACGAUUAACAGUCCUACGUGAUCUGAGUUCAGACCGGAGCGAUCCAGGUCGGUUUCUAUCUAUGACAGAUUUUCCCUAGUACGAAAGGACCGGGAAAAUGGGGCCAAUACCACAAGCACGCCCCCCCCAUAAGUAAUGCAUCCAACUAAACUACCAAAAGGACCCCCACAAACAACCUAAGACUCCUAGAAAAGGACU
rnacentral:rRNA from 1 species